rnacentral:rRNA from 1 species
GAUGAACGCUGGCGGCGUGCCUAAUACAUGCAAGUCGAGCGAACAGAUAAGGAGCUUGCUCCUUUGACGUUAGCGGCGGACGGGUGAGUAAUACGUGGGUAACCUACCUAUAAGACUGGAAUAACUCCGGGAAACCGGGGCUAAUGCCGGAUAACAUUUAGAACCGCAUGGUUCUAAAGUGAAAGAUGGUUUUGCUAUCACUUAUAGAUGGACCCGCGCCGUAUUAGCUAGUUGGUAAGGUAACGGCUUACCAAGGCAACGAUACGUAGCCGACCUGAGAGGGUGAUCGGCCACACUGGAACUGAGACACGGUCCAGACUCCUACGGGAGGCAGCAGUAGGGAAUCUUCCGCAAUGGGCGAAAGCCUGACGGGGCAACGCCGCGUGAGUGAUGAAGGUCUUCGGAUCGUAAAACUCUGUUAUUAGGGAAGAACAAAUGUGUAAGUAACUGUGCACGUCUUGACGGUACCUAAUCAGAAAGCCACGGCUAACUACGUG